GGCUGUGUGGUGUAGUGGUUUGAAUGUUGGAAUAUGACUCCAUGAGACCAGGGUUCAAAUCCCUGCUCAGCCA